rnacentral:rRNA from 1 species
UACGAAGGGGGCUAGCGUUGUUCGGAUUUACUGGGCGUAAAGCGCACGUAGGCGGAUCGUUAAGUCGGGGGUGAAAUCCUGGAGCUCAACUCCAGAACUGCCUUCGAUACUGGCGAUCUUGAGUCCGGAAGAGGUGAGUGGAACUCCUAGUGUAGAGGUGAAAUUCGUAGAUAUUCGCAAGAACACCAGUGGCGAAGGCGGCUCACUGGCCCGGUACUGACGCUGAGGCACGAAAGCGUGGGGAGCGAACAGG